GGCGCUGGCUAGGAGGUGGCAUAAGACCAAACUGAGGUCUUGAUGGCAGGAGCAGCAUCUCUUUGACCUUGACUCCAGAAAAGCCCUGAGGCCAGCCCUGAGCUGGGUAGAUUCCCAUCUUGGAAAUUUCUAGUCAAGUGGAGAUGUCUCUGGCCAGUUCUAGGUGCUAGAUCUGCAGGUGGCAGCCACCAAGAAGAUCUCUUCAUUCCAAGAUCUCCCAUUCCUGGCUUCUCAAGACCCUCCCCCACCUGCCUGCAGAGAGGACAUUUGCCUGCUCACUCUCUAUCGGCAGAAGGCAGAGGAGAUGACUUGCCAACCCUGGGGCCCUGAGGGCUUAGCAAGAAGUGCACAACAUUUUGCUUAUAACUUCCAUGCGACUCAUUCAUCCAACCAUUGACUUUCUACUUCAUGUUAUAAUUAUAUUAGUUUUAAAAUAAAACAACAUUUCUGUCAUAAGUCUUUGAGCGAAGUGGUUUCCGAGAUGUGCUGCAUUGGUGGCAUUGGACGGCCC
rnacentral:lncRNA from 1 species